rnacentral:rRNA from 1 species
AUACGAAGGGGGCUAGCGUUACUCGGAAUUACUGGGCGUAAAGGGCGCGUAGGCGGCUUGGUAAGUCAGGCGUGAAAUUCCCGGGCUCAACCUGGGGACUGCGCUUGAGACUGCUGGGCUAGAGGAUGGAAGAGGGUCGUGGAAUUCCCAGUGUAGAGGUGAAAUUCGUAGAUAUUGGGAAGAACACCGGUGGCGAAGGCGGCGACCUGGUCCAUUACUGACGCUGAGGCGCGACAGCGUGGGGAGCAAACAGGAUUAGAUACCCUGGUAGUCCACGCCGUAAACGAUGUGCGCUGAAUGUUGGGGUUCUUAGAAUCUCAGUGUUGUAGCUAACGCGGUAAGCGCACCGCCUGGGGAGUACGGCCGCAAGGUUGAA